GGCAAUGCAGCUGGUGGGGGGCCCCAGCCUCCAUAUCAUAGGAGGUCCCCAGGGCUGUUGAAGUUGCGAACUCCUAGACUCCAGCCGCAGACGUUGGGCCUUUGUGUUUGGGCACAAGCCUAAGCACUGAGACAACACAAGCUUUCGGUGUUUGUAAUUUUCAGACGGUGCUGGAACUAGUUCACCAGGGUCACCCAGUGGGCCUAGUCAAGUGGCAAUCCCAUGCUACCCCAUCAGGACACUAAGUCUAGGCGCAGGAUUGUAGGCGUGAGCCAUCAUGCCUGACCACAAAUACCUCUCGGAUGUCCGCCAACCUCUGGGCGCCAUCAGAAAGAAGGCCAGAAGAGAAGGUCAGGGAACUUCUCAAGGGAGUGCGCCUGCUCUCCUGGGUGGCCAGGAUUCCACCAGUGACUUGAAGAUUUGGGACCAGUGUCACAGAAAGGAAGGAGAGCAUUCAUGGUUAAGAGGAGGAUGAAAACGAGGCAGGAGGACACAGGUACCAGAGAUCCUGGGAAGAGUUGGAAUGAGGCCAUGCCUGCCUGCAUGAUGAAAACAGUCUCCAAGAGAAGGGCCUGGUGCAGCCAACAACCCGAUGUGGGAGCUAAGAAAAUGUGCCUUCCUUGCCUGGGGCUUUGCAGGCUCGCCUCGCUCAGGCAGGUGGUGGUGUGUAGUAAGCCAUCCAAGCUACGUCCAAGAAAAGGCGUUGAUAGAUUCGUGGAAAUUCAGAAGAUGGAAGCCACCAGAAUGUAUGAGAAACUGAUUCAUAAGGCCAGAGCAAUAAAAGUGGGUGCAGCCUGUAUCAUGCUGGCAGAGUGGCCUGGGGUAGGUGGGGCAAGAUCGGGAGUAGAAGGGAACAGAACCUUCCAACAUCUGUCAACAGGGGGCAUGGAGCCAGGGCGUGGCUUGGGAUGCGAGAAGGUCUUUUUAGGUGCCGAGAGCAUGCAUCCCAAUUCUGCUUUGGGGAAGUGUGCUCUGCUUCCUGUGCCUUUUAUCUUGAUGGGCCUGAGUUCCAUUCAGGGAGCAUGCAA